GGAGAAGGAAGUAAGGGCACACGGGGGAUGCCUAGGCGCCAGGAGCCGAUGAAGGGCGGGGCGAACUCCGAUAAGCCUCGGGGAGCUGUAAGCGAGCGUUGAUCCGGGGAUUCCCGAAUGGGGCAACCCACCGGUCUGACGAGGGCCGGUACCGCCACCUGAAUUCAUAGGGUGGACGGGGGCACACCAGGGGAACUGAAACAUCUUAGUACCCUGAGGAGAAGAAAGCAACCGCGAUUCCCUCAGUAGCGGCGAGCGAACGGGGAACAGCCCAAACCGGCGGGCACUUGCCCGUCGGGGUUGUAGGGCGUCCCACACGGAGUGAUAAAGGAUGCCGGUAGGUGAAGUGGUCUGGAACGGCCCGCCAUAGACGGUGAAAGCCCGGUAACCGAAACCGGCGUCCCUCCGGGACGGACCCUGAGUACCACGGGACACGGGAAACCCCGUGGGAAUCCGGGAGGACCACCUCCCAAGGCUAAAUACUCCCUGGCGACCGAUAGUGAACCAGUACCGUGAGGGAAAGGUGA
rnacentral:rRNA from 1 species